GUGACGAAGCGACGCCGCGUGCGGGAAGAAGGCCUUCGGGUUGUAAACCGCUGUCGGGAGUUAAGAAAUGUAAGGAUGUUAAUAGCAUCUUUACUUGACUAAGGCUCCGGAGGAAGCCACGGCUAACUCUGUGCCAGCAGCCGCGGUAAUACAGAGGCGGCAAGCGUUGUUUGGAAUUAUUGGGCGUAAAGAGCACGUAGGCGGCUAUGUAAGUCGGUUGUGAAAGCCUUCCGCUCAACGGGAGAACAGCAUCCGAUACUGCAUGGCUUGAGUGCGGGAGGGGAGAGUGGAACUUCUGGUGGAGCGGUGAAAUGCGUAGAUAUCAGAAAGAACGCCGGCGGCGAAAGCGGCUCUCUGGCCCAUAACUGACGCUGGUGUGCGAAAGCUAGGGGAGCAAACGGGAUUAGAUACCCCGGUAGUCCUAGCCGUAAACGAU
rnacentral:rRNA from 1 species